UACGGAGGGUGCGAGCGUUGUCCGGAAUCACUGGGCGUAAAGGGCGCGUAGGCGGCGCGGAUAGUCGGCGGUGAAAGCCCGGAGCUCAACUCCGGGUCGGCCGUCGAUACUUCCGGGCUUGGAGCACUGUAGGAGGCAGAUGGAAUUCCGGGUGUAGCGGUGGAAUGCGUAGAGAUCCGGAAGAACACCGGUGGCGAAGGCGGUCUGCUGGGCGAGUUGCUG
rnacentral:rRNA from 1 species